ACGCUCGACACCUACGGGAGACAGCAGUGGGGAAUAUUGCACAAUGGGGGAAACCCUGAUGCAGCGACGCCGCGUGAAGGAAGAAGUAUUUCGGUAUGUAAACUUCUAUCAGCAGGGAAGAAAAUGACGGUACCUGAGUAAGAAGCACCGGCUAAAUACGUGCCAGCAGCCGCGGUAAUCUGAGCGGGCUGGCAAGGC
rnacentral:rRNA from 1 species